GUCUCUCCCUGUCACUCCACACAAUCCUUCCCUCUGCCCCUGAGCCUUGCAGGCUGGGACUGUGGCUUGCUCAGUGUGUAUCCCCAGCACUCUGGAUGGUGCCAGGCAUGCAGGAGGGACCGGAAGCAAGCAAUGAUUGACUCGGAGCUAAACGCCCCUCAACAGAUGUCACCAGUUCUACAUCAACCUGAGCUCUGGGAGUGACAUCACCUUCCACCUGAACCCCCGUUUCGAUGAGAACACCAGGGUCCGCAACACACAGAUCAACAGCUCUUGGGGACAUGUGGAGAAAAGCCUGUCUGGAAAAAUAACCUUCACCUGAGGCCGGAGCUUCUCACUAUGCUAUCAGGGCUCACUUUGUGCAGGAAGCACCCUGGGUGCUGGGGGUACAGCAUGGAGCAGACAAAUGAGGUCCUGCCCCACGGAGUCUGCAGUUUAGGAGGCAGAGGAACCAGAACACAGACACACAGACAGAGCCUUGCAGAUACGAACAGGUGCUCUGCAGAAAGCAAACAGAAUAGAGGGAUAGAGUGAGCCCCGAGGAAGGGGCCGCACUGCAUUAGACGGGGACAGCUCUCUGAGGAGGCCACCGUGCCGUCGAGACCCCAGUGGCAGUAGGAGCCGCCUGGCAAAGAUCUGAGGGUGCAUUGAGGCAGGCAGCAGAGGGAGCAGCUGUUACUCCAGAGGCGGAUCCUGGGCGUGGCCUGUCCAGGACCAGGGGGCGGGGGCUCCCAGGUGGACAGUGAGGACAGAGAGGUGUGGGUGAGGCGGCUGAGGCUGGGCUCACACAGAGCAGGUGUUCUCAGCCCAGACCACACAGUCAAACCCCUGGGAGCUUAAAGAAGGAAAAUCCAUGCCUGGACCCGCACCGGGCCAAUGAGGGGGUGAACGUGGGCCUCCGUAUUUUUAAAUCCACCCUGAUGCUGCUCUCUCAGUGAUGAAAUGACUGAUGUCAGGCUGUGAGGGCCUUGGAAAGAGCCGGGAUUUUAGCACAGUGAGUUGGUGUGUUUCAAGCCAGAGGGCGAUAUGCUUUGAUUUCUAGAUAGCUUUGUGAGUUUGAGCAAGUGAGUUAACUCCUCUGCGCCUCAGUUUCCUCAUCUAAAAAUGGG
rnacentral:lncRNA from 1 species